CAAGAAAAUACCAUUUCUUUUUUUCUAAUGUGUAGAAGUGAACAAUCAUACAUAAGAAAUGAAACAACAUAUUCUCUUGGUACUAUUUCUUUUGGACAUUACAAAUAUUUGGUAAUUUUAGAAGCCAGAAAGGCUACUUAAGUACUUCCUUGCAAGACAAGAUCCAAUGAUCUACAAUACCAAGUGCAGAAUUAAGUACAACCAUCAUUUUUUGGUCUAAACUGAAUUAAACUCAUCGAGAAGAAAAAAAAUUCCUUCCAUCCAAACAAAAGAAACAAACCGGGAAAUGUAGAGCAGUUGUGAUGCAUACUGCAAGUUUAGUCCUGGUACUUCAUCUCGGACAUCUUGAACCCAGGCAUGUCAAAAGAGGCUGAGAAUUUCUCGACAUCAACCUUAAGUUCUUCAAUUUCCUUGUUGUUAACGAGACCCUUGUUGAAGUCCUUCAAAAGCUUUCCGAACUCCUUCUGGAUGUUCAAGGUGAUUGUAACAGCCCUGUGGAGGAACUCCGCGAUCUGCUCAAAGUCCUUCUCAACCAAUCCCCUUGAUGUCAUGGCAGGAGUACCAAUACGAACACCUCCUGGGGCCAAAGCACUGCUGUCUCCGAAAACAGCGUUCUUGUUAACAGUGAUGUUGCAAAGGUCACAAAGCUUCUCAACCUUGUUACCAGUCAAACCAAGAGGUCUAAGAUCCCAAAGGACAAGGUGGUUCUCAGUCCCACCAGUUACAAGUUUGUAUCCUUUGCUCAUCAGGUAGUCACCGAGAGCAACUGCAUUGGCCUUCACUUGCUUAGCAUAAGCCUUGAAUCCAGGAGUCGCAGCCUGUUUCAGGGCAACAGCAAGAGCGCCGAUUUGGUGGUUGUGAGGACCACCCUGGAGAGAGGGGAAAACAGCAAAGUUAAUCUUGUCUUCAAAGCCAUAAACUGCAUCUUCAGGCUGGCCCUUCUUUGGUGGCUUAGGGCCCUUGCGGUAGAAAAUCAUACCAGCUCUUGGACCCCUCAAACUCUUGUGUGUGGUGGUAGUAACCAAGUCACAAUAUUCAAAGGGAUUCGCUGCUUCCUGAGCAGCAACAAGACCACUAAUGUGAGCCAUAUCA
rnacentral:misc_RNA from 1 species